rnacentral:rRNA from 1 species
UACGGAGGAGGCAAGCGUUAUCCGGAAUUAUUGGGCGUAAAGCGUCCGCAGGUGGCACCUCAAGUCUGCUGUCAAAGACCGGGGCUUAACCCCAGAAAGGCAGUGGAAACUGAAGUGCUGGAGUGCAGUAGGGGUAGAGGGAAUUCCCGGUGUAGCGGUGAAAUGCGUAGAGAUCGGGAAGAACAUCGGUGGCGAAAGCGCUCUGCUGGACUGCAACUGACACUCAGGGACGAAAGCUAGGGGAGCGAAUGGG